GUGAGGAAUUUUCCGCAAUGGGCGAAAGCCUGACGGAGCAAUGCCGCGUGAAGGAUGAAGGCCUAUGGGUUGUAAACUUCUUUUCUCAGAAAAGAAUUAUGACGGUAUCUGAGGAAUAAGCAUCGGCUAACUCUGUGCCAGCAGCCGCGGUAAGACAGAGGAUGCAAGCGUUAUCCGGAAUGAUUGGGCGUAAAGCGUCUGUAGGUUGUUUAAAAAGUAUUCUGUCAAAGAUUAGGGCUUAACCCUAGAUAGGCAGAAUAAACUUUUAAGCUAGAGUUUGGUAGAGGCAGAGGGAAUUCCCGGUGGAGCGGGGAAAUGCGUAGAUAUCGGGAGGAACACCAAAGGCGAAGGCACUCUGCUGGGCCAAUACUAACACUGAGAGACGAAAGCGAGGGGAGCAAAUGGGAUUAGAAACCCGGGUAGUCC
rnacentral:rRNA from 1 species